rnacentral:rRNA from 1 species
UACGUAGGGUGCGAGCGUUGUCCGGAAUUAUUGGGCGUAAAGAGCUUGUAGGCGGUUUGUCGCGUCUGCUGUGAAAGACCGGGGCUUAACUCCGGUUCUGCAGUGGAUACGGGCAUGCUAGAGGUAGGUAGGGGAAACUGGAAUUCCUGGUGUAGCGGUGAAAUGCGCAGAUAUCAGGAGGAACACCGGUGGCGAAGGCGGGUUUCUGGGCCUUACCUGACGCUGAGGUGCGAAAGCGUGGGGAGCAAACAGG